rfam:Oryza glaberrima chromosome 10 Oglab10_0062_4, whole genome shotgun sequence.
GCUUUGUAUAGGAGAGACGGUUGGCAUCUCCCCUGAUAGGGACGGGAACAGCUUUUGGGCUUUCCUCCAUCACACUGCAGUUAAGGCUACCCGCUUCGGCGGAUCUUACCCAAAUUUUAA